AUUGCAGCUCCGUGCCGGGGGCGCCAGCACCGGCCUCGCAGCUCCCUCGCCCGGCCGGGGAGGAAUCAACAAGACUUUCUUACACACACAGCGUGACCAUAAGUGGAGAGAGAAAUGUGCCAGAGUAAAGACAGCCAUACAUACUUGACACUUCUCCCAUUAAAAAGUGGAGUCUAUUUCCUUCCACUUGAAUCUGCACUGACCUGAGACUGCUUGGACCCAUAGGAAAUGGCAGAUAUGACAUAUGGCCAGUCCCAGGCUUUGCCUUGGAGAGACCUAGAAACUUCUACCAUAGUCUCUUGAAGCUUCGAGGUGGCAGGAAAUAAAUCCAACCAGCUACCUGGCCGGAGAAAUCAGCAGGAAAGGCCCCAAGAAUAUGUGAAGAAGGAGAUGGGCCUGGUAGAGCCCAGGCUUCCAACCAACUGACAAGACUCCAGGCAUGGUAAUAAAACCAUCUCGAUACUUCUAGCAGCAGCAGCAGCAGCAACCAACAGAACAUCACUAAGUGACCCCAGUUGUGCCAUCUGCCCCAGUUCCUGCUGCACAAAACCAUGAUAUAAAGAAGUGGGUUAUUUUACAUCAGUAAGUAUUGGGUUAGUUUUAUACUCAGUAAUAAAUCAAGGGAGCAUUUUACAACAGUUUCCCAGAAGAUGGGCACAAUAGUGGCCCCACAGGGUGGGGUGAGAAGAGUUGCUGAAGCCUUAGCAUGAGACUCUCCCAGAAAUCCCUUUUUUUUGAUUUUCAGAAAGCCCUGAUGCUACAGUAAUAAUAGCUAAUAUUUCUUAAUUGCUAUAAAUAUGGCCUUAUUUCCUGCCACUUUGGGACAUGCAUUAUACUCACUAGUAACUGAUGCUUAUGCCCCUGGCUGCUGGGAAUAAAUAUUCUUAUAGCCGCUAUAAAUCUUGCUGAUCAUUCAAGAUUCCUCUUGGGUACUGGCAACUUCAGGAACUUUCAUGUUGACCUAAGAGUCUCUCUACUUUUCAUAACUCUAUCUUAGCCAAGUUGUAUUUUGUUGAAAUUAUCUCUGUUAUCUCCACAAGUUUCUAUUUUCCACUGGUAAGAUGGUUGAAGAUACAGAUUGCAUCUUCCUCAUGGUUGCAUGUAUGUACAAUUUUAACAGAAUCUGCACAUUGUAAAUGACCAACCUAGCAUUUGCAUAUUGUAUUACAGUUUAUAAAGGGUUUUCAUGAUUAUCCCUCUUGAACAGUUGAAUUGAGGCUCAGGGAGGAAAACGACUUUCUUAAAAUCCCUGGGUCACAGGGGCUCCUCACUCAGAGGCUUGCUAAUUUUCUCCCCCACAUACUGAGGAUAUGGAGAACUUCUUAGUGGGAGGGAGAGAGCUGAAGCCCUAUCCUCCCCAUGGAUACAUAUCCUUUGUUUUCAGUGUCUGGGAAAUGCCCCAGGAUUCCCUGCUGCGUUACCCUGGGAGACUAUUGCUCAAUCCCAGCAGCUGCUCUGGAGGAAGGAAAAAGCAGACAUUCUGAAUGUAUCAUACAUACAAUGCAAUAUUGAAUUGGAGGUUGCUAAUGAGCGAGAACUCUUUUAUUGUGUAGUCUACUUCCAGUGAGGUCUAGCUCUUAAUUUUCAGUGGGCGUAGCAGGAAGUACUAGUGUAAAAAAUAAAACAUAUAUAUUACUAAUACUGUUGCUAUAUAAAACAAUAUUUGGCCAAGAUGGUUAAGAUAUGAUUCAGUCCUUGUUCAUCAAGUUGCUAAAUAUUAUUCAGUGAGUGGAGUCACCAUAUGGCAUAACUGAAUUUUCUUGGGAGACUGGGUAAAAUAUUGUGUUGGAUAUAGAAUUUGGAAUUGUGCAUGUCUCUGGUGGAUAGAGUCUAGAUCAAGCUGCAGACUGCUAAUCCCAUUAAUCCCUCAGGCAAAGACUCUAAUGCACGUGGCAAAUGGAAAUGGCUUAGCCCUGCAUGUAGCACUCCACGAGGGCGAGUUUCUUCUCAGAAACUGAGGAAGGGUGGGCAGAACCACACAUCUAGACAGAUGCAAUCUUUAAAGAAAAGUGUGUGUGGGCAAGUACAGUACCAGCUGGGAAAAUCUAAAUGACUGAAACCUAUGACUCAGAAAUCUUAAAUUGCCUUAAAAUUAAUGAAGCUCUGUGGGGAUGACUCAGUUCAUUCAUGUCCUUAGCUUGCAGGCUCGAAAGCUUGCAGAAGGAGCUGUUGUCUAAAGUUUGGAAGAUCAGACUCCACAGAAGGAAUGGGUCACAUCCUUGGGGGUGGUCUGGGGUGCAUGUGCUGGAGAGCCAGGUGAGCUGGUUUGCAUCCUUCCCAGGGACCGAGUGACUUCUGGCAAGUGAAACCUCUGAGCCCUAGUUUCCAUUCCUGUAAAAUAAGAAACAGAGAUUGAAUUUCUAACUUCAUCAGCUCUGAUAUUCUGAUUACUCAAAGUCCCAGCAAGAAACAGAAUUUGCCCUGGGUGGUUUCGAUGAAGAGAUUUUAAUAAAGGGACUCCACAGAUGUGUGUGCUAGUUAAGAGAACAAACAAGGAAGAGGAAGGCACCCAGAGAUGAGUAAAAGCUUCUGCUAUUACCAUCUCCAUGGUCAAGACACCCAGGAAAAAUGGUGUUACUGGAACCCAAUGAGAACCAGAUCUCUGGUGGAGAGCCAUCCUCUACCCGACCCCCGACCCCGGAAGGAGCCAUCUUCCUGGGAGGAGGAAGCCCCUGCCAGAAACACAGUCUUAAGCAAGAAGGGAGCCAGGAAGAAGUGACCUGAAGCUUAACGUAUUUCCCUAGUGCUGCUCUUUGGAUGAGUCCAACUGGACGCCAUUCAGGAAGGGAAGAAAGCUGUCCACAGGAGUUGGCCUCAUGUGGCACAGAGAAGAGCAAAGAAGAAGGGUAGAGAGUGGGAUCUAGAGUGGGUGAAAACAGAAAAACCAGCACACGUUUUAUGCUUUUAUAAAUUUCAUUUCUGAGUUAGGGAAAAAAGCACAAUAAAUAUUUUCUCUGGAAUAGCUGAAGAAUGACUCUCAACUAACAGAGUUUCUGAGUGUAAGGACAAGGUUUUGCUUACUUCUUUAACCCAUCAAAAUCUAGCAUGAUGUUGGUGCUAUGGUAAAUAAUCAGGGAAUAUUUAUUGAAUUAGAGGCUGGUCACAAAUAAACGUUUAUAAACAUCUGCAUGUGUAUAGAGCAUGAUGCAUGGUACAUGUGAAGUGAAAAUCUGUUGAACAAAUAAUGUGUAAGAUUCAAAACAAACUAUGUAAAUCUUUCAAAUGAAAACUUCUGUAAACCUCAGACAAAUACUUGGCAUUUUAGUUCUAGGAGUCAUUUUGAAUGUGAUUUAUAGUUGUCAUUGCACAAUGUGUAAAUUUCUUGGACUAUGAAAAUGGGGUCUAAAAUGUGAAGUAAUAAAUAAGCAAGGAGGGACUUAAAAGAGACAUUUUCUACCUAUUGUUACUGUUCAGAAAUUAUACAAGCAGGAGUGCUCACAAAAGUAGAAUGUUCAGCAUAUUCAGACAUACAUGAAAUCACCUCUGACAUGUGGAUGUACUAACAGAGGGAUGCUAUUUACAGUCAGGCAGGCCAGGAAUGCACACCUAGCUAUAGGAUCUCUCAGUAUUCUGACUUGAGACAAGUACUUGAACCUGUGAACCUCAGUUUCCUUUUAAUCCCUGCCUCAGGAUCCAUGUGAGGGCUGAAUGAGAUGAUAUGUGUCACAUUCCUAGUAAAGAGCCUGGCAUGUCAUAGAUGUCCAUCACUUUGUUCCAUCUUUCUUGUGGGGUCACUGAUUUUCUUGGAGUUGACAUAAGGUGUAAGACCAAGGGGUCACUGAUUUUCUUGGAGUUUAUAUAAGGGGUAAGACAAAGGGGUCAUUGAUUUUCUCAGAAUUGAUGUAAGGUGUAAAAACAGUCACUUCUUUUGCUAGAGGGGAUUCUCUGCAUGACAGAAGCACAAGAAAUGGUGAAAGUUACAGAACACAUCCAAACUAUCAUUAUGUUUCAUGUGUAGGAACUGAUGUUCACCUGUGUUGCCUUAGCAUGUGGAGGAGCACCGUAUGUAUGUGUCACUAAUUCUUCUCUUCAGUAUUCACCUAGCUCAUAUGACAGGCAGUGCUGUUUGUAUAAGCUGCAGCCAUUCUCCCAUCUACGAAUGGUCAAAGCCAAUUCUCUCUAUAGAAGCUGAAAUGCCAGAUACUUAUGUUUCCAGCCUUCCAUGCAAAUAAGCAAGGCAAUAUGAUACAAUCCUGGCCAAUGGAACUUAGGGAAAUUCUAUCUGGGAAACGUUGGGGUAAGAUUUUCCUCUCCAGUAGAAGUGAGGGGUUCGUGGGGAGAAGCCCAUUCCUGCUCUGUAUAUUAUCAUGGAGGCUAUGAUGCCUAAGGCUUUGGCAGCAUCUUGAGACCACAAAGGGAAGCCAGGAGAACUGAAGAGAUGUUGCCCAGAGAUCUAGUGUAAUUGAGGUGCGAAAUACCAGAUUCCUAUCUCGAGAAUUUUUGUGUUUAGAGACUCAUUUACAAACACUGAUUGUUUAGGCCACAUGUAGACAUGUAUUCUGUUACGUGCAGCUGAAAGCAUGCCAACUAAAAACCUAUUUUCAGAUUUCUUCUGGGGAAAUAAUUGAGUUCUUAUGUUUCUGACUCUUCUCUCCAGCAGGUCAUUAAAAGCCUAGAGUCCAGAAACUUCGUUAGACAUUUUGAAUUCCUCCAUCCAUUUACUUAUUCAUCCAUUCAAUCAUUCAUUAUUUAUUCAAUCAAUUCAAUAUGUAUUCAUCCAGUAUGUGCCAAUUCUUUUUUCCACUAAUUGACUUUUGUGAGCUUUUAGAAUCCUGCUCUAGCAUCAUGACCUUGAGGAAGUCUUCCUGGACGCCCACUUUCAGCUAAACAACCUUUCUCUGUGCAUACUUAACAGUCACACGUAACAUCUUUGGGGGGACCUCUCAUGUUAUAUUGAAAUAAUUUACCUGUAUAUCUUUCCAACCACAGUGUACUUUUUUUAAAUGCAGAGACUAAUUAGUAGUCCACUUCCCUCCUUCCUUCCUUCCUUCCUUCCCCUUCUCCUUUUUCUCCCCCUUCUCCUUCUCCUGAUCCUCCUCUUCUUCCUUAAGUUUGCAUUAUAGCAAACUUCUUAGCUAUCAAUGAGUAUUCAAAACUCUUUGUAGACCAGACAGAAUUAACGGACAGAGACUAUGCCUUUUAGCUUUGCAAUCCUAGUGCAUGACCCAGAGAAAGUGCUUUGUAAGUGUUUGCUGAAUAAAAAAUAAUUGUAAUUCAGGAGAAUAUAUUUUAUUGAAAUGACCAACUGGACCUAAGAAUCAUUUUGGAAAUGGGUCAGUGCCAUCUUAUGUAGCAUUAGGUAAUAGUGGUGUAUCACAAAUAUGUAUUAAAUAAAUAAUUUAUGCCCAUAUUGCAUCCAGAAUUUCAAAUGUAAAAUUUUGUGUGGUGUGAAGUAUGGCUCCAUCCUGAUUUUUUUUCCAAAUUGGCUACUUAAUAUCUCUGCCUUAUUUUGUGAAUAUUCCCUCCCUGACAUUUUGAAAUAUCAACUUCAUCAUAUACAAAGUAGUCAUAAUAAGUGGGUAAUUUUUUGGAAUCUUCAGUUGCCUUUCAGUUGCCUUGCAGCUCACACAGUAUCUAUAACUGUGUAUACAUUUGUCUUCCUUUUAUUUUAGAUCUUUUUCAAUAAUUUUUAGACAUUUAACUAUCCAGAUAAACUUUGGGCUCAAAUGUUAAGCUUCAUAAAUAUCUCAAAAUUCUCUCUUAAAGUUGAGGUAAUAUUUAUAGAUUAUGCCAUGCAAUAUGGCACAGCAAAUAAAAGCACUGUUUUGCAGUCCACUGCCCAGAACUAAAAUAAUGACUUUAUAACUUUUUAGCCUAUGAUUUUUGCCUAGUCAAUGAAUCAGUUUCUUCAUAUGCAAAAAUGAAAAUAAUAUCUAUGCAUAGAGUUGCUAGUUAGAUUAAAAUAAGGAAAUUCAUAUAAAAUAUUGAUCCUAGUGUCUGGCACAAGGAAAGUAUGUAACAGGGAUAAUUAGAUAUUUAAUGUCCCAGCAUUAUUCUAGUAACUUUUCACAAUCACAUCAGACUUGGGUAGAGAAGAGAAGUGUUUAUCUUGACUUUUCCAUUCAGUUGUUUUCAGGAGUAAAACUUGGAAAAUGUAGCUCAUUUUAUUUAUUUGUCUAUAUAUAUAUAAGGAGAAUUAUAACAUUGGUCUGUCCUACUCACAGGUGACUUAAAAAAUCCAAGGAAGUGAUAGAUGUAGAAAUGUUUUCUCCAAUGAAAAGGAUCACAACUGUAUGAAAACAGUAAUUACAAUGCUCACAACUGUUGAGAUUGUACCUAGAAGGUCAAGUCUUGAGGGUUGCAUGAAGGAAUUGCUACUGGAUUUUGAUCUUUAAAUGGCCCUCUUUAGUUGCAAUAUAUUUGGGAUUAUAGAAUAUAAAACACCUUUGGAAUAUGUAUGUUUUAUAACUAGGAAAUAUGUCUUAGGAUCCAAAGACAGACAUAACUUAUGCAUUGCCACAUUAAAUUGACCUCAGCAUCCUCAUCUGCGGUAUUUUUUAAAAGGUAUUAACCUUGAAGCAUUAAUGGUUAAAUCUCCAAUAAAGAUGCAAAUGAUUAAUAGAACAAUGCAGUAGGGAAGUUUUCUUUUGCUGUACAUGACUCACCAUUUAUGGGAAAGACUUUGUAACAUGUUUACCUGCUGGGGACUAGUCAGAUUCACCUUGAACAAUGAGGAAAUAUCAAAAUCCCUUGUGUUUGUGCCAGAAAAUAAGCAUAUCAUUAUCUAAAACUCUUUGUGACCAUUUCGCUCUGACAUUCUAUCACUGCAUUCUGUAGCAAAGACCCUGAAACAUGUCACUUUUCUGUAGACCAGUGUGACAGAAUUUGAACAGGCCUGACACAAGUGUUGUGACUUGUGAUAUGGUUUUCUGGUUAGCUGGUAGCUAGCACAUAGGUAAUGAUAUGGCUUUAAAGUUAGAUUUUUAAAACUACUUUUGAUUUGUGACCAUGAAAGAGCAACUCGUUUUCAGCCAGCUUUUUGAAAUUUUUUGCUAGUUAAUCUAAAGGAGGUUACUCUUAAUUAAAUGUGAAUAGUGAUUUUUAAGGGCACUUAACGACGUGUAAGUAGCACCUAGUAAGCACAUCAAAAUCCUACACUGUCACAAGUUGCCAUCGCAGAUACUUACUCAGAACUUUCUUAACCCAAAUAUUGGACUUUUUAAGAGUUGAGGAUCAAGGGCAAUUCGGGAGGGGAGUGACAUUUGUAUAAAAAGAAUUGACAUUACAUAUUUUUUAGAAAUAUGUAUUUAUUGAAUGACAAAUUAAUUUUAUAAUAUUGGUGGACCUAUAAAAUAGUUCUAUUCAAACCUAUUUUCAAAAGUAAAAUUCUUUUUAAAAUUUGAAAAAUUUCAAACAAAUCUGUAUCUGAACAAAUGUCGACCCUUCUUUAUAUUGAAUAUCUGAACCAUAAAAGUUAGUCUAACCUGAAUAAUUAGUUUUGGAUUAUAUUUAUCUACUUUGAACAAUUUCUUAGCCAUUUGUGUCUUCAAAACCAUGCCAUAGUAUCUUUCUGAAAUUUAAAAAAUAUGGUCUUAUCUUUAAUUUUAAUAAAUUGUCUCUAAUCCUCUUCCAAGUUUCAUUGUAAAGUUAUAAUUUUGAAAUUUGACACAUUCAACUGACACAUUUCUAUAGACCCUAUUUUUUAAAUUGUGAAAACAUUCUCUAUGGCUGCUGAAGUAUUUGGUAGGAUUAGAACAAAUUCUACUGGCAGAAGAUACUCUUAAUAAUUUUCUUCAUACUGAAAAGUGUACAUAUUUCACAUCAAAUAGUGUCCCAGUUCCUAUCUUUGCUUCCAUUCAUAGCACCUUUCCUCCUUCAAUCUUUUAUUAGAACUUGUACGUCAUUUACAUUUUUCUCAUCAUUCAGGUCUUUCCUUUCUCUUGCAGGGACAAAGGUGAAUGUCCUGUUAUUUGCAAGCUUUUUUUUUUUUUAAUAAUUACAACUUGUUAAGAGCUUCAAAAGCUGCAGGGUUUUUUGUUGUUUAUUUUUGGGCAGAGGGCGCACUCCACUUGCUACCUUGAUUAAAGAUUCCCAACCAAUUCUGAAUAAAAUAUGAGCAAAUUUAGAGACCUGUUUACAAAAAGUUUAAUGGCAUUGCAGGGCACUUAGAUUGAUGUGCAGAAUAGUUCUGAAUAAAUCAAAAAUUUCUAAAAUCUGAUCAGAGAAGAACAAAGAAUGUAGACACACACACACACACACACACACACACACACUGAUUAUAAAAAUAUUCAACAUUAGCUUUGUCAAAAAUUUUGUAAUUUAGUUACUUAAGAUGUUUAUAUGUAUAUCUGUAUGUUUUGACAAUGACGGAUUUUAUUUUGAUUGGCAGAUUAUUUCAGCUUCUCUGAAUUUUAUUGUUAAUUUUGUUUAUCUCACAAGAAAUUCCAAGGACAGUCUGUUCCAUAGAUUUCUUAAUUUUGUAUUUAC
rnacentral:lncRNA from 1 species